UGCAGUCGAGCGGUAACAGAUUGAUAGCCUUUGCUUAUCUUUGCUGACGAGCGGCGGACGGGUGAGUAAUGCCUGGGAAUAUACCCUGAUGUGGGGGAUAACUAUUGGAAACGAUAGCUAAUACCGCAUAAUCUCUUCGGAGCAAAGAGGGGGACCUUCGGGCCUCUCGCGUCAGGAUUAGCCCAGGUGGGAUUAGCUAGUUGGUGGGGUAAUGGCUCACCAAGGCGACGAUCCCUAGCUGGUCUGAGAGGAUGAUCAGCCACACUGGAACUGAGACACGGUCCAGACUCCUACGGGAGGCAGCAGUGGGGAAUAUUGCACAAUGGGGGAAACCCUGAUGCAGCCAUGCCGCGUGUAUGAAGAAGGCCUUCGGGUUGUAAAGUACUUUCAGUUGUGAGGAAGGCAGUUAAGUUAAUAGCUUAGCUGUUUGACGUUAGCAACAGAAGAAGCACCGGCUAACUCCGUGCCAGCAGCCGCGGUAAUACGGAGGGUGCGAGCGUUAAUCGGAAUUACUGGGCGUAAAGCGCAUGCAGGCGGUCUGUUAAGCAAGAUGUGAAAGCCCGGGGCUCAACCUCGGAACAGCAUUUUGAACUGGCAGACUAGAGUCUUGUAGAGGGGGGUAGAAUUUCAGGUGUAGCGGUGAAAUGCGUAGAGAUCUGAAGGAAUACCGGUGGCGAAGGCGGCCCCCUGGACAAAGACUGACGCUCAGAUGCGAAAGCGUGGGGAGCAAACAGGAUUAGAUACCCUGGUAGUCCACGCCGUAAACGAUGUCUACUUGAAAGGUUGUGGCCUUGAGCCGUGGCUUUCGGAGCUAACGCGUUAAGUAGACCGCCUGGGGAGUACGGUCGCAAGAUUAAAACUCAAAUGAAUUGACGGGGGCCCGCACAAGCGGUGGAGCAUGUGGGUUUAAUUCGAUGCAACGCGAAGAACCUUACCUACUCUUGACAUCCAGAGAAUUCGCUAGAGAUAGCUUAGUGCCUUCGGGACUCUGAGACAGUGCUGCAUGCUGUCGUCAGCUCGUGUUGUGAAUGUUGGGUUAGUCCCGCACGAGCGCACCCUUAUC
rnacentral:rRNA from 1 species